AUACGGAGGGUGCAAGCGUUACUCGGAAUUACUGGGCGUAAAGGACGCGUAGGCGGUUUUUAAAGUCAGAUGUGAAAGCCUAUGGCUUAACCAUAGAACUGCAUUUGAAACUUCUAAACUAGAGUGAGGGAGAGGUCAGUGGAAUUAGUGGUGUAGGGGUAAAAUCCGUAGAGAUCACUAGGAAUACUCAUAGCGAAGGCGACUGACUGGAACUUUACUGACGCUGAGGCGUGAAAGCGUGGGGAGCAAACAGGAUUAGAUACCCCAGUAGUCC
rnacentral:rRNA from 1 species